rnacentral:rRNA from 1 species
UACGUAGGUGGCAAGCGUUAUCCGGAUUUACUGGGUGUAAAGGGCGUGUAGGCGGGAAAGCAAGUCAGAUGUGAAAACUAUGGGCUCAACCCAUAGCCUGCAUUUGAAACUGUUUUUCUUGAGUGUCGGAGAGGUAAUCGGAAUUCCGUGUGUAGCGGUGAAAUGCGUAGAUAUACGGAGGAACACCAGUGGCGAAGGCGGAUUACUGGACGAUAACUGACGCUGAGGCGCGAAAGCGUGGGGAGCAAACAGG